AUUGAACGCUGGCGGCCGGCCUAACACAUGCAAGUCGAACGAGUGGCGGACGGGUGAGUAAUGUCUGGGACACUGCCUGCUGGCGGGGGAUAACUACUGGAACCGGUAGCUAAUACCGCAUACCAUCAGCUGUGCCCAGAUGGGAUUAGCUAGUUGGUGGGGUAAGGGCUCACCAAGGCGACGAUCCCUAGCUGGUCUGAGGGGAUGACAAGCCAAACCGGAACUGAGCGACGGGCCAGACUCCUACUGGAGGCAGCCGUGGGGAAUAUUGCACUAAGGGCGCAAGCCUGAUACAGCCAUGACGCGUGUAGGAAGGAAGCCUGCAUGUUGUAAAGUAAGUUCAACGGGGAGGCGUUUCCCGCAGAAGAAGCACCUGCAAAAUCCGUGCCAGCCGCCACGGUAAUAC
rnacentral:rRNA from 1 species